rnacentral:rRNA from 1 species
GACGAACGCUGGCGGCGUGCUUAAUACAUGCAAGUCGAACGGAAAGGCGCUGCUUGCAGUGUGCUCGCGUGGCGAACGGGCGAGUAACUCGUGCGUGAUCUGCCCCUUACUUUGGGAUAAGCCAGGGAAACUGGGUCUAAUACUGGAUAGGACAAUGCUGUAAGCGGAUGGGUGGAAAGAGUAGUACCGGUAUGGGUUGAGCUCGGGGCCUAUCAGCGUGUCGGUAGGGUAUUGGCCGACUAAGGCGUCGACGGGUAGCCGGCCUGAGUGGGUGUUCGGCCCCAUUGGGACUCCGACACGACGCAGCAUCCUACGAGAGGCAGCAGUGGGGGAUAGUGUGCAAGGGGCGCAAGCCGGAUGCGGCGACGCCGCGUGGAGGAUGACGCUCUUCUGGUUGUGAACUCCUUUCAGCCAUGACGAAGCGCUUGUGGUGACGGUAGUGGUAGAAGAAGCCCCGGCUAACUACGUG